rnacentral:rRNA from 1 species
AAUGAACGUUGGCGGCGUGGAUUAGGCAUGCGAGUCGAGCGAGAACCGUAGCAAUACGGGGGCAGCGGCGAAAGGGACAGUAACGGGUAGAUUAUCUGCCCUCAGGUUUGGGAUAGCUGCGGGAAACUGCAAGUAAUACCAAAUAAUAUCUCCGGAUCAAAGGUGUGGUUCCGCCUGAGGAUGAGUCUGCCUCCUAUUAGCUUGUUGGUGGGGUAACGGCCUACCAAGGCAUUGAUGGGUAGCGGGUGUGAGAGCACGACCCGCGUCAUUGGGACUGAGACACUGCCCAGACACCUACGGGUGGCUGCAGUCGAGAAUCUUCGGCAAUGGACGCAAGUCUGACCGAGCGACGCCGCGUGUGGGAUGAAGGCCUUCGGGUUGUAAACCACUGUCAGAGGGGAUGAAAUGCAGGUGGGUACUCCCAUUUGUUUGACAUAGCCUCAGAGGAAGUACGGGCUAAGUUCGUGCCAGCCGCCGCGGUAA